AUGCAGUCUUCCUUCCUAUUUCUCUCCAGUCACGCUGAGGCCAAUUUGGGGUCCAAGUACAGGGAUCUGCUUUCAACAUGGAUGCUCUGGAGCCCCUGCCAUGGAACAGGACCCAUUCUAAGGAUGUUACAUGGGCCCCCUGGCUUCAUCCUCUCCACCUCCCUGGGAGGAAGGUGGAAACAGCAUCCCAUUCACAGAACCUGUCCCAAGUCUCCAUACUGAGAAGCAUAAGGAUGUAUAUCUUCUGCCGAAGCGGCAAUGAUGAGUUUUCAAAGGAAGGAGCAUGAAGAGAGGAGCCGUGUGUAUGCGCGGACUGACGUUUUUAAUGAGGAUACCUCCUGAGCUGCAUCCCACACUUAGCGGUAACUCUCAUCAUAUGUCCAAAGCUCCAUGUCAGGGAAAUCAAAUUAAAAACUGACACCAAGCAUCGAGAAGAGAGCAUUUGGGUGUCAGAGAGCAUCACUCGUACACAUUCAAACAGAAAAAGCUAGGAGCUGGUGAUGAGGCUGCUACCAGGCACAGGCCUUGAGGAAGUCCAAAGGUCCUCUCUGCCCAGACCCGGAAGCCCACACCAGGGGUGGACGCGGCUUUGGCAGAAAGAUUUCUGGGAGGCUGCUCACUGUCAAAUGCAGAGUGGAGGCCAGGAGAGGAUCCUGGUUCUUGGAGUCGCCCAGGAGCUCACCUUCCUGGGCUCCUGAGUUCUGAAUCCACUCCCUAGCACAAAUUCAUGGGUUUCUUAGACUAUCUUCUAUGUAUUUUUAUAAUGGGAAGAAAUGGCUUAUAACAUUCAAAGCAGGGAGACCUUCGAAGCAGUCAGCUCAGUGCCAGGCACAUGUAGGCAGGAAAUCAAAGUCAGGGGCUGUUCAAGCUGAAUUCAUGUCCAGGCCCUGCCACCAAAUUGCUGAGCAACUUUGC
rnacentral:lncRNA from 1 species